rnacentral:rRNA from 1 species
UCCUACGGGAGGCAGCAGUGGGGAAUAUUGCACAAUGGGCGAAAGCCUGAUGCAGCGACGCCGCGUGAGGGAUGAAGGCCUUCGGGUUGUAAACCUCUUUCAGCAGGGAAGAAGCAGCCGGGUUUUCUUGGUUGUGACGGUACCUGCAGAAGAAGCACCGGCUAACUACGUGCCAGCAGCCGCGGUAAUACGUAGGGUGCAAGCGUUGUCCGGAAUUAUUGGGCGUAAAGAGCUUGUAGGCGGUUUGUCGCGUCUGCUGUGAAAUUUCGGGGCUCAACCUCGAACUUGCAGUGGGUACGGGCAGACUAGAGUGUGGUAGGGGAGACAGGAAUUCCUGGUGUAGCGGUGAAAUGCGCAGAUAUCAGGAGGAACACCGAUGGCGAAGGCAGGUCUCUGGGCCGCUACUGACGCUGAGAAGCGAAAGCAUGGGGAGCGAACAGGAUUAGAUACCCUGGUAGUCCAUGCCGUAAACGUUGGGAACUAGGUGUGGGCCUCAUUCCACGAGGUCCGUGCCGCAGCUAACGCAUUAAGUUCCCCGCCUGGGGAGUACGGCCGCAAGGCUAAAACUCAAAGGAAUUGACGGGGGCCCGCACAAGCGGCGGAGCAUGCGGAUUAAUUCGAUGCAACGCGAAGAACCUUACCAAGGCUUGACAUGUGCCGGAAAAGUGCAGAGAUGUGCUCCCCGCAAGGUCGGUACACAGGUGGUGCAUGGUUGUCGUCAGCUCGUGUCGUGAGAUGUUGGGUUAAGUCCCGCAACGAGCGCAACCCUCGUUCUAUGUUGCCAGCACGUGAUGGUGGGGACUCAUAGGAGACUGCCGGGGUCAACUCGGAGGAAGGUGGGGAUGACGUCAAAUCAUCAUGCCCCUUAUGUCUUGGGCUUCACGCCUGCUACAAUGGCCAGUACAAAGGGCUGCGAUACCGCAAGGUGGAGCGAAUCCCAAAAAACUGGUCUCAGUUCGGAUUGGGGUCUGCAACUCGACCCCAUGAAGUCGGAGUCGCUAGUAUUCGCAGAUCAGCAACGCUGCGGUGAAUACGUUCCCGGGCCUUGUACACACCGCCAUCGG